AGAAUUCUGAAGAAAUGACAAUGGGCCUCUCUAGAGCACAUGUAAUACUGUUUUUCAUUGCAUAUCAUAAUUUUUACAGAAAAUAAUUUUGUUGCUUGGAGGAGGAGUGAGUUAAAAAUUGAUCCCCCCCUAGGUGUCCAUCUUUCUCCUUAUGUUGCUGAUUUGCCAGCUGUGGUCAGGCUGCAUGGGUUGGGGGCCCUGGUCAGAGUGGGGUGGUUACAGUCAGGGGCUGAGGUGUGGUGAAGUCAGUUGCCAUCACACCCUCUUUCUCAAGCAGCUCCUACUCCCUCGGGAAGGGGCCUGUAUUUGGGCUUUCUUGUUGAGCAGACGUGCCCUUGGGUUGCCUCCAGUCGGCCAUGUUGGGAGGCUCAGCUCCUGUCUCAUCCUUUCCUGAGAUGUGGUGCCAAGCCUGGAGGGAGACUGGGGCAAUGUCACCCGUCUCUGGGGUUGCCCCAGCUGGUAACAGCCCCCCCCCCAUCUACUUAAAAGUAGCCGUGUUUAGAGUGGGGUCACGUAAAACAGACAGAUAGGUACAAAGUUCCUCCAAUGGCCCUCUGGGAAAUUCUUUGGAAUUCCAUCAACACGACUAUGUGUUAAAUGCCUUGUUCAGGUGCAGGCCUGGUGCUGGCCCCCACGGUAUCGACAGACUCAGACAAGUCCCAGUCUGCCCUCCAGGAGAGCUACAUGGGUCCGCCUGUGGCUGGAAUUCAAGGAAGGGUGGUGGAGACAGUUCUAAGAGCGGGUUGUUCAAAGCGGGGUGACAAAAUUCACACCAGGGGUGCCACAGAAGGGCAGGAGCCUUGGUGGAAUGGAGCUGCAGGUACCGAGGGUGUCUUCAUAUCCUCCCACCAGCACUUAGCAGCUCUGUGACCUCCAGGGAGACCCCCCAAGAAACUGGGGGUGGAGGCAAUAGUCCAGCCUCACUGGCAGACAUCCCUGAGGGCAAAGUAAGGCCACACUGAAGCUCUAGGCCCUCCACAGAGGAAAUGCUUACUCAGUGCAUGAUGAGCUCCCUGGGGCUCUCUACCCAGAGGCACAGUGGAGGCACAGUGGAAAAUUACCCUGCACCUCACACUCAGGGAGGUGCCCCUUUUUAUAGGGGCUGGGCUCAUUUUGCGCAUGGGCUUCUGGUGAGCGAGCCCAAACCAGACUUGGAAGGCCUAGAAGGAGCAGACAAAAACCGUGCCCUGGCAUAACCUCUGUCAAAUAUACUUUGUCUCAGCGGAGCUUUUGAGAGAAGCCGGAGAGCUCUUGUAAAAUAUAAAUUGUCAUUUUUGUUGCUAAUAAUAGUAAUGACAAUUCCUGGGCUCCCGUCCUGAGAUCGUCUGUCUGCAGGCAACUUUCAUCACUUUCCCGAGGACUGGCCUGGCACCCAGAAAAAUACUUCCAGUAUACCUUACCCCUGGAGCCUCUCUGGGACCGUCCCUGUGACCUCUGGACGCAUCUCUAGAUUUGUCAUCUGUAUGAGGGCGUUCUCAAGUACCAGGUCACAUAUUUUAGCUUCUUUUGAUAAAUUAGUGACAACUGAUUUAAUCUCACAGCUACCUCGUGAUGAAAGUCUUUGUCUUUACUGUGCCUCAGAAAGGGUCAGUGGCUUGCCUAAGGACACACAGCUUGAAAGAACCAGAGGUGGGAUUCGAACCCAGGUCUGUAUCAGUCCAGAGCCUACACUCCUAAGUCCAGCCUCUGCUAUUGGACAGAAACAGUCCCACCUCUGGGGGCUACAGGCCGAGAUGGCCCCCCGAUAAAGGUUUCUAAAAAGGGGAGAUAGCAUAAAAACAGGUCUUGCCCUAACUUGACGGAGCAUCUUACACUCAGUUACCAGCAUGUCAGAAUUCAUAGGACGUCUGGUCAGCUCCGUGCCGAAUUGCCUGGAGCACUCAAGGUGGUGAGAAGCUGUUGAAUUAAUAAAAUGCAUUAAGUUGAUUGCAGGGGAAACACUUAAUCUACAGAGGAUAGUACACUCUUUGGAGGCAUUUUCAAGUACUUUCGAAAACUCCCUUUUCCACACCAAUAAUUGAUGGACUAACCUCAAAUUGUUCUUAUUUGUUCAUUAACGUAAGGCCCCCAAGGGCUCACUGUAUAACACUUUAUUAGCCGGGAUUGAGUAAUAUAUUUUAAAGUAAUAAAACGACAUUAUUUUUAAAUUAUUUUUUAAUGUGGACUUUCCAGCCAUUGACUGCCCUCUCUGAUAGGUCUGAAUUAGUGAGUUUUAAUUGUGUGCAAAGAAGCAAUAAAAUAAUCAUUACGAAGAUGAUGGGUGUAUCUUUUAUGGCAGACGUAUGCAUCGUCCCAUCCAGCCUGAGGAAACCCUGCACUGGGAGCAGCACGCAGCGCCCCCUCCUUUGCAGACGCAGAACUCACACUCAAAGGGAUUCAACCUCUCACCCAGGGCCCCUGAGUGGUGGGGGCCAGGAGUCAAGUUCAGGUUCGUCUCCUUUCUCUAGCACUCACCGAACAUGGUUGAGGUGUGAGCUUGGGUGGCACUGAAUGGGGCUCAGGCUUUUCCCAGGAGACUGGGGUUACCAAAAAUGGGAAGGUAAGAAAAAUAAGAGAGAAAUCAAGAUACAUCCUUGUUGUGUAUCUGCUCAGGACCGACUACCUCUGAGGGCCAGGUGGGCACACAAAGGUGAGGGAGGGUGACAUAAUGGUUAAUUUAUAUGUCAACUUGACUGGGCUAUGACCAGGGGGUUGGUCAAACACCAACCAGUCUAGAUGUUGCUGUGAAGGUAUCAGAUGUGAUGGAUGUUCAGAUCUGUAGACUUUAAGUAAAGCAGAUUAGUCUCUAUGUCAUGGUGGGCCUUGUCCAAUCAGUCGAAGGGCAUAAGACCAAAGAUCGAAUUUUCCAAUGAAGAGGGGAUCCUCAGCAGGACUUCCCUGUAGGAAUGCUGCUUGAGUUUCCAUCCUGCUGCCUUGUGGGACUCACAUUAACUCAGCAUUAACUCUUACAUAAAUUUCCAGCCUGCUAGUGUACCCUACAAAUUCUUGCCAGCAAUUUCUUAAACUCUCUCUCUCUCUGUAUACACACACACACACACACACUAACUGUUAUUCCCGUACAUUUUAUUUCAGUGCACCUUUCUAUGCCAUGAUAAGAUGAAUUACAGCUCCUAUGUAACUGGGAUUUUUAUGUACUUGACCUCUUUCAGAAAGAACCCAAAGAAACUAAUGUAAGCAACUCUCAGGGGAUUUGUUCGAAGAUGCCACUUCUGAGUCCAUCUGGGCUCCAGGUCCAUGUGACGCCACGUGCUGCAGUUGCCCCUGGUCCAGGCCCUAGAUAGUGGAGCUCUGCAGCCCAGCAUGACACAUACCCACAGAGUCAUCUCCAGUCUCGGGCCCAGUGAGGCUCUCUCUCAGGAACAGUAGAUGGGUUCAUGGCCACAGACUUGAAAUCAAAGGGGAUUCUAAUGAUCUAGAAAAUUAAAUUCUCCAGAAUUGCCAGGGAAUUGACUUCUCUGGAGUCCUUUUAUCAGGUAGCAUUUUGGACCCUCUGACUCUUACCUUUUUUUUUUUUUUUAAAGAUUUAUUUAUUUUAUUUGAGAGAGAGAGCAGGGGGAGGGCCAGAGGGAGAGGGAGAAUCCAAGCAGACUACCCGCUGAGUAUGGAGCCUGGUGCUUGGCUCCAUCCCAUGACCCUGAGAUCAUGACCUGAACUGAAAUCAAGAGGCAAACGUUUAACCGGCUGAGCCAUCCAGGUGCCUCCUAUUCAAAUAUCAGCUCUAUAAAGAGACCAGCUCAUGCCCUCUUGUCCUCUCCUCCAUUCUUCCUCCCAGAGAAUGGUGGCAGGACAGGGGUGAUCAUUCCUGUUUUACAGGAAGAGAAACCGAGAUGAAGAAAGGAUGCACCUCGCUUCUGAUCCUGGGCAGCAGCUGUGGUGUACAGUCCCAGCUCCUGCUGAUGGAGGCACCCACAGUCCAGCCCCAGCUUCAGCUCAGCUUCCCCCACCCAGAGCCCCUUCUCAGCCCGCUGGUCUCCGUUCAGAGCAAGACUGUGACGCUUCUGUCUUGCUUCUCUGCCCUGGGGUUCUCCUGAUUUGCUUAGUUUCUUCUCUGCCUGCUUCAAUCCCACUCAUCCUGGAAUACCCUGCAGAGACUGUGGAUCUGCUGGGUCACGAGGAGAAGCCGAAGGGGGUGCUCGGAAUGAGCGAGGAAGAGACUGUUUAAAGGAGUGGCUGGGCGUGGCCUGGAGAGCCACCUGCAGAACUGCAAGAGAACCACGAAGGAACCAUGGCUGGCAGGGCGGGCCCUUGGCAGAAGUCAUGGCCUUCAGUCGAGGAAACUGAUCAUGGCUCAGCCCGCACCUGGCAGAGAUGGAGCCAGAGGAACACAGAGUCCCACUCUCUCCUCCUGCACCUCUUUGGCCAAUCCCAGCUUGCAGAUGGAGGAAAGAUGUCCUUUGUGCAGCCCUCAGAGUUGCAAGCUGGAUGGAGGGGCUGUGGGCUGAAAAGGGUGGGCAGGCCUCCGCCUUCGCCUGGGAGUCCCUGUCAUGAGUGCAGCCCAGAGAGGUCUCCUUCUUCUCUGAGCCUCAGGAGCACCCUUGACCUUGAGGAGCUGUAAUGCCUCUUAGUUGUGCUGUAAGGAUGUGGCUCUCUCUCUCUGGUCUUUUCAGUGUAUCAUGUCUCCCCACUUAGUGUGUAAGUUCCAACAGGUGCCCUACCUUUUUGUAUCUCCCAUACAGAAGCAACCAAAUAUUCUGGGGUUUCUUGGCUGCAUCUGUUUUGAACAGUCUGUCCCUUUGCUCUCCUUCCACCUACUCUGCCCCCCGCCAGGGCAUCUGGAUCUGGACUUGGGGUCUUGGUAAGUUUUGGGGGGAAGAUGUGAAUAUUAAGGUAAGGGUGAAGAGUCUGAAGCUUCUGGGGCUGGCUUGGGGAGUUUUCAGCAGAUGUAACAGGAGACAUGAGCACAGGAGUUAAGAGAACCUGACAUCACACUCAGGGGGAGGAGCUAGAGGGGGGUGGCAGGGAGGGUCACCAGAACCAAGGGACCAGAGACAGGGAUUGACAUGGGAUGUGAGUGGGGAGUGCAAGACCAUGGGGACCUGAGCAAGCCAGUCACCCUCAGGGAGACAUAGGGACGGGCAGGGGAGGGGCUUAGAUGCAAGGUUAAAGAGGGUUCCAGAGCUAUUGUGUAGGCUAGUGCUGUCUGAAAGAGCAGCCACUAGCCAUGGGUGGCUAUUUAAAUUAACUAAAAUUGAACUACAUUAAAAAUUCUGUUUCUUGGUCAUACCAGCCACCUUUCUGGUGACCUACCGUGUUAACCAGCAUUAAGUUAGAACAUUUCCAUCAUCACAGAAUGUUCAAUGGAACAGGCUGGUCCAGAAUAUACUAGAGAGUUUAAGGUCCCAACAGUCCUAACAAAAGUACCUGUUUGGGGAUGCCUGGGUGUUGGUUAAGUGUCCACUUUCAACUCAGGUAGUGAUCUAAGAGUCCGGGGAUCAAGCCCCACAUGGGGUUCUUUGCUCAGUGGGGAGUCUGCUUCUCCCUCUCCCUCUGCCCCUUCCACUGCUCCUUCCUGUCUCUCUCUCUCAAAACAAAUAAAUAAAACCUUUAAAACUUUUUUAAAAAAGUA